AUUGAACGCUGGCGGCAUGCCUUACACAUGCAAGUCGAACGGUAACAGGUCUUCGGAUGCUGACGAGUGGCGAACGGGUGAGUAAUACAUCGGAACGUGCCCGAUCGUGGGGGAUAACGAAGCGAAAGCUUUGCUAAUACCGCAUACGAUCUACGGAUGAAAGCAGGGGACCGCAAGGCCUUGCGCGAACGGAGCGGCCGAUGGCAGAUUAGGUAGUUGGUGGGAUAAAAGCUUACCAAGCCGACGAUCUGUAGCUGGUCUGAGAGGACGACCAGCCACACUGGGACUGAGACACGGCCCAGACUCCUACGGGAGGCAGCAGUGGGGAAUUUUGGACAAUGGGCGAAAGCCUGAUCCAGACAGGCCGCGUGCAGAAUGAAGGCCUUCGGGUUGUAAACUGCUUUUGUACGGAACGAAAAGACUCUGGUUAAUACCUGGGGUCCAUGACGGUACCGUAAGAAUAAGCACCGGCUAACUACGUG
rnacentral:rRNA from 1 species